AUGGGCCUGUGUGUGUCGUACGACGCGGCGGCCGACGGCCCGAUGACCGCGAGGGUGGUGCUCCCCAGCGGCGAGCUCCGGGAGUACUCGCCGCCCGCGACGGCGGCGAUGGCGCUGGAGGAGGUGGGCCAGCAGGGGUGGUUCCUCUGCGACGCCGACAGGAUGGGGUUCGAGGGCUCCGUCGCGGCGGUGGCUGCCGGCGAGGAGCUCCAGCCGGGUCAGAUCUACUUCGUGCUCCCCACAGAGAUGCUGCGACGCUGCCUCACAGGCGAGGAGGUGGCCUCGCUCGCCGUCAAGGCCAGCGCCGCCCUCGUCAAGGCCGCCACCGCCUCGUCUGCCGGCGGCCGGCGCCGGCGAGGCUCCGUGGCGCCGCUCGUGUUCGCGCCGUCCGAGGAGGACUACUCGGACGAAACCUUGGCGACGUUUGCAGUGAAGCCGGCGGUGCCGCAGAAGCGGAGGGUGACCUACCGAGGCGGGAGGUCGCCGCCGAGGUUCUCGCCUGACUUAACCGCCAUUUUGGAGAGCGAGUAG
rnacentral:rRNA from 1 species